GAUGAACGCUGGCGGCGUGCCUAAUACAUGCAAGUCGAGCGAACAGACGAGGAGCUUGCUUCUCUGACGUUAGCGGCGGACGGGUGAGUAACACGUGGAUAACCUACCUAUAAGACUGGGAUAACUUCGGGAAACCGGAGCUAAUACCGGAUAAUAUUUUGAACCGCAUGGUUCAAUAGUGAAAGACGGUCUUGCUGUCACUUAUAGAUGGAUCCGAGCUGCAUUAGCUAGUUGGUAAGGUAACGGCUUACCAAGGCAACGAUGCGUAGCCGACCUGAGAGGGUGAUCGGCCACACUGGAACUGAGACACGGUCCAGACUCCUACGGGAGGCAGCAGUAGGGAAUCUUCCGCAAUGGGCGAAAGCCUGACGGAGCAACGCCGCGUGAGUGAUGAAGGUCUUCGGAUCGUAAAACUCUGUUAUUAGGGAAGAACAAAUGUGUAAGUAACUAUGCACGUCUUGACGGUACCUAAUCAGAAAGCCACGGCUAACUACGUG
rnacentral:rRNA from 1 species